rnacentral:rRNA from 1 species
GACGAACGCUGGCGGCGUGCCUAACACAUGCAAGUCGAACGGGACCAGGGGCAACUCUGGUUCAGUGGCGGACGGGUGCGUAACACGUGAGGAACAUGACCUUCGGCGGGGGAGUAGCCGGCCCAACCGGCCGGGUAAUACCGCGUACGACCUUUCGGGGUACGAUCCCUCGGAUGGUGGAAAGACAGCAAUGCGCCGAUGGAGUGCCUCGCGGCCUAUCAGCUAGUUGGUGAGGUAACGGCUCACCAAGGCGACGACGGGUAGCUGGUCUGAGAGGAUGGCCAGCCACAUUGGGACGUGAGACACGGCCC